ACCGCCUGAACUGAAACAUCUAAGUAGGGCGAGGAAGAGACAUCAAACGAGAUUCCGUAAGUAGUGGCGAGCGAACGCGGAAGAGGGCAAACCGGGAGUAGAAAUACUUCCGGGGUACGGACCGCAUUUAGGACUUGAGUUGUUAACCGAACGGCAUGGGAAGGCCGGUCAGAGAGUGUGAGAACCACGUAGGUGAAAACGACAAGAGCUGAGCGAGUUCCAGAGUACGGCCAGACACGUGAAACCUGGUCGGAAUAUGGGGGGACCACCCUCCAACCCUAAAUACUACCCAGUGACCGAUAGCGUAUAGUACUGUGAAGGAAAGGUGAAAAGCACCCCGGGAGGGGAGUGAAAAAGAACCUGAAACCCUGUGCCUACAAGCACCUAGAGCACGUCAAUGUGUGAUAGGGUACUUUUUGUAGAACGGUCCGGCGAGCGAUUGUAUGCAGCAAGGUUAAGGACUUAAGGUCUGGAGCCGAAGCGAAAGCGAGUUUGAAAAGGGCGUUAAGUUGCAUACAAUGGGCCCGAAACCGGGUGACCUACCCAUGGUCAGGUUGAAGUGGAAGUAAAAUUCCAUGGAGGACCGAACCGACCUCCGUUGAAAAGGCGGCGGAUGAACUGUGGGUAGCGGAGAAAUUCCAAUCGAACCCGGAGAUAGCUGGUUCUCCCCGAAAUAGUUUUAGGACUAGCCUCAAGUUAGAUACCUGGAGGUAAAGCACUGAAUAGCCUAGCGGCCGAGAGGUUAGCGAAGCUUAUCAAACUCAGAAUGCCAGAGUAUUGAUGCUUGGGAGUCAGACAGUGUCAGAUAAAUGUCAUUGUCAAAAGGGAAACAGCCCAGAUCUACAGCUAAGGUCCCAAAGUCAGGUUAAGUGGAAAACGAUGUGAAGAUACGUAGACAACCAGGAUGUUGGCUCAGAAGCAGCCACACAUUCAAAGAGUGCGUAAUAGCUCACUGGUCGAGCGUCUUUGCGCGGAGAAUUUAACGGGGCUAAACCUGACACCGAAGCUUAGGCAAUACAGCAAUGUAUUGGGUAGGGGAGCGUUGUAUACGCGGUGAAACAGUAGCGCAAGCGGCUGUGGAGUGUAUAGAAGUGAGAAUGCCGGAAUGAGUAGCGCGAAUGCAGUGAGAAUCUGCAUGGCCGAAAGCCUCAGGUUUCUGGAGGAAGGUUCGUCCGCUCCAGGUUAGUCGGGAGCUAAGGUGAGGCCUAACGGCGUAGCCGAUGCACAGACGGUAGAGAUUCCGUCACCACCAAAAGAGUUAAACACAGGGACACAUUUGAAGUCUCGGAGCCGGGUGUUGGUUCCGGUAGCGAUCGAGGGAAAUUAGUACCGAAGUCCGGGAUGGAAGAUGGCGAGAAAAGCUGUGUGUAUUUCUGCGGUGCCCGUACCGCAAACCGACACAGGUAGGUAGGAAGAAGAUUCUAAGGCCAACGGGAGAAGGGUUGUUAAGGAACUCGGCAAAUUGACCCCGUAACUUCGGGAGAAGGGGUGCUCCAGAGAUGGAGCCGCAGAGAAUCGGCCCAAGCAACUGUUUACCAAAAACACAGGUUUGUGCUAAAUCGAAAGAUGACGUAUACGAGCUGACGCCUGCCCGGUGCUGGAAGGUUAAGAGGAGAUGUGCAAGCAUUGAAUCGAAGCCCCAGUGAACGGCGGCCGUAACUAUAACGGUCCUAAGGUAGCGAAAUUCCUUGUCAGGUAAGUUCUGACCCGCAUGAAAGGCGUAAUGAUUUGGGCACUGUCUCGACAGCCCGCCCGGCGAAAUUGUAGUACCGGUGAAGAUGCCGGUUACCCGCGACAAGACGGAAAGACCCCAUGGAGCUUUACUGUAGCCUAAUAUUGGGUUUCGAUGUUGCAUGCACAGGAUAGAUGGGACACAGGGAAACAAGUGCUUUGGCAUUUGUGGAGUGGCCGUUGGGAUACCAUCCUUGCGAUAUUGGAAUUCUAACCUGCGCCUUUGAAUCAAGGCGGGGGACAUUGUUAGGUGGGCAGUUUGACUGGGGCGGUCGCCUCCUAAAGAGUAACGGAGGCGUUCAAAGGUUCGCUCAGCUUGAACGGAAAUCAAGCAAAAGAGUGCAAACGCAGAAGCGAGCCUAACUGCGAGACUGACGGGUCGAGCAGUAACGAAAGUUGGAGUUAGUGAUCCGGUGGUAUGUGAGUGGAAAUGCCAUCGCUCAACGGAUAAAAGUUACCCUGGGGAUAACAGGCUGAUCUCCCCCAAGAGUCCACAUCGACGGGGAGGUUUGGCACCUCGAUGUCGGCUCAUCGCAUCCUGGGGCUGUAUUCGGUCCCAAGGGUUUGGCUGUUCGCCAAUUAAAGCG
rnacentral:rRNA from 1 species